rnacentral:rRNA from 1 species
UGGGGAAUAUUGCACAAUGGGCGCAAGCCUGAUGCAGCCAUGCCGCGUGUAUGAAGAAGGCCUUCGGGUUGUAAAGUACUUUCAGCGGGGAGGAAGGUGUUGAGGUUAAUAACCUCAGCAAUUGACCUUACCCGCAGAAGAAGCACCGGCUAACUCCGUGCCAGCAGCCGCGGUAAUACGGAGGGUGCAAGCGUUAAUCGGAAUUACUGGGCGUAAAGCGCACGCAGGCGGUCUGUCAAGUCGGAUGUGAAAUCCCCGGGCUCAACCUGGGAACUGCAUUCGAAACUGGCAGGCUAGAGUCUUGUAGAGGGGGGUAGAAUUCCAGGUGUAGCGGUGAAAUGCGUAGAGAUCUGGAGGAAUACCGGUGGCGAAGGCGGCCCCCUGGACAAAGACUGACGCUCAGGUGCGAAAGCGUGGGGAGCAAACA